rnacentral:lncRNA from 1 species
UGCAUUCUAUGACACUCAUCUUAUAUGAAGGAAUUCGAUAUCAUAACUUAUAUAGCUGAUUUGGCAUAAUACAUGUUGUUCUGAAAGGAACAAUAAAACUUCCGGGUGAAUGUUUGGGAGUGUUGUUUAGCAAGUUUGAAAUUACCCAAAUUCAGAGGCAAGACAAUUGUUGUAGUGGGAAGGUGCAUUCCCUACCUAAUCAUUAUCUUCUAGCGGAAUCAAACUGUUGACAAUAUGUCUAGUUGAUCUGCCAAAAGAUCGAUAAACAAAAUCAUGUUGUGCUGCCAAAAAAUCGAGAACAUGCUCCUCACGUCGUCGUCUUUCUUUAAUUCUAGCCGACUGAACAUUAUUCUUCCGUCGUCCAACAUUGGACGUUCAUACCAAAUGUAUUUCACCAUCCGGGGUUGAUUUCCUGGUUGAUUUCAUCCAGUUGAUCCUUGAGACCUUUUAACGUGACAUUAAUGUACCGAAACUUGAACAUCUGAGGAUUUCC